rnacentral:rRNA from 1 species
UGGGGAAUAUUGCACAAUGGGCGCAAGCCUGAUGCAGCCAUGCCGCGUGUGUGAAGAAGGCCUUCGGGUUGUAAAGCACUUUCAGCGAGGAGGAAGGCGUUAAGGUUAAUAACCUUAGCGAUUGACGUUACUCGCAGAAGAAGCACCGGCUAACUCCGUGCCAGCAGCCGCGGUAAUACGGAGGGUGCAAGCGUUAAUCGGAAUUACUGGGCGUAAAGCGCACGCAGGCGGUUUGUUAAGUCAGAUGUGAAAUCCCCGAGCUUAACUUGGGAACUGCAUUUGAAACUGGCAAGCUAGAGUCUUGUAGAGGGGGGUAGAAUUCCAGGUGUAGCGGUGAAAUGCGUAGAGAUCUGGAGGAAUACCGGUGGCGAAGGCGGCCCCCUGGACAAAGACUGACGCUCAGGUGCGAAAGCGUGGGGCAGCAAACAGGAUUAGAUACCCUGGUAGUCCAGCGCUGUAAAACGGAUGUCGAC